AGCCAUCCUUGGGCAACAUGUGGUAUCAGAGCAGAUACUCUAAUAUUAGUUAUUGAUCUAGUGAUCUAAGAGCUAAAGAUCAAAUGGCAACCUCAAUUGAGACUUCAUUGAUUGACGGGCAAUCAACUAAUAGACCUCCACUCUUCAAUGAGACUAACUGUACCUACUAAAAAGCAAGAAUGAGAAUAUUCAUCCAAGCACAAGAUUAUGAUAUGUGGAAUGUCAUAAUGAUGGGACUACACACACCCA
rnacentral:lncRNA from 1 species